AAUUUUAAAAUAUUUCUCAAAAUCUACAUUUGAAUAACUGUAGAUUUUUUUUAUUUUAAUACAAAUCACUUCAAACUCUUAGUUGGAUAUAUCCCCUUUAGUUUCUUAUUAUAUAGAAAAGUAUACGAGCUGUGAGCAUGUAUAUUUUAGUGUUUGUUUACGUUUGAUUUAGAUUUUGGUAUCUAAACAUUUGUUUAUGUCCGGGUUCUAAAAAUUUGUUAAGCACAUCUAUAUAUGUAUGUGGAAUUGUUAUAAAAUAAGAAUUUAGGUAAUUCAUACACGUAGACCAAAUAUAAUUUCCCACUUUUUCUCAUAU
rnacentral:lncRNA from 1 species